rnacentral:lncRNA from 1 species
UUCUUGGCCUUUGGUAUCUGUUACACCAUUAUAGAAAAAUUCCAUUCUCUCGCUGUCUCUUUGUCUCUCUGUCUCUUUCUGUCUCUCUGCUUUUCUCUCUCUCUCUCUCUCUCUCUCUCUCUCUCUCUCUCUCUCUCUCUCUCCCUUCCUCCCUCCCUCUCUCCCUCUCCCUCUCCCUUUCUCCCUUUCCCUCUCCCUCUCCAUCUCCCUCUCCAUCUCUAUCUCCCUCUAUGUGUGGGUGGAGGACAUGAAUAUGAGUGUGUUUAUUUAAGAAAGCUUCAAAUGGAGUAGGCAGUUGAUAGUAGGCACUUUGCUUUAAUAAUAUCAUCCCUGAUAGGCUAACCACACUCUUAUGGGAGGCUACUGUGGGUGUUGGAGCUCAUCUUCAUAUCUUCAUACCAUUCUCUAUGGAAGCACUACUCUACCACUUUACACAGGCAACAAAGAAUUCACAGAGAAGCACAAAAAUGUUUUUUUGGAAGCAUUUUAGCAUUUCAUCCUAAUGCUGGUUCUUGUUCUGGAAGAUGGAUGAUAUAGAGUAGAAUAUGUGUAUUCUGCAAAGAAGACUAAACAAGAAGAACAUAAUGAGCUAUGAACCUUCCACUCCAACUCUUACUAAUAGUGGACAGUGCUUUGGAGAAUUGAGAGCCGCAGAUCAAGAAGUUCAUAAUGUCAUCCACAUAAGUUGAGCCAUCAAUCUGACUGACAGAUGAAGACUCUGGCAAGUGUAAGGAACUCAGGAAAUAAGACUCAGCAGAUGCUGUUGGCUGCCCUUCCAGCCCAUGGCAAAUGCUUUUGAAUCAAUACUAUGUGGCUAGAUGUAAACAGAGAAGCCAAACAUUGAGGAAACACUAGGAAUGAUCUUUGCAAAGCAAGCACUUCUAGCCACCCCUGCAAAUAUUGGCUUCUUUCAACAUUGUUGUUUUAAUAAGUGAAGACUCUGCUACAGUUGACUAUCUGCUUUGCAUUGGAAAGUCUAUCGAUCGCUUGAUGUGAAUUAACGAGUUCAGGGGAAAAAGCCUACCUAAAGAACACUCUCUAGCAUUACAUUGGAUACUUAAAGAUUCUUUGUUUAAUAAGUAACUGAGAAAUCCAGAAAAGAAGAUUUAUCAAUAAUGAUUUAAUUGUGAAACAGGUACUAUUGAUUUGUGGAAGGAGGAAGAAAUUAAAAACAAAGUCAUUUAUUUUCAUAAAUGUUGAGGUCAUCCACCAAGAAAGAAUGCCAAAAUGGAGUACCUAACUUCCCACACAUAAAGGAGCUACAGACGGUACAGAAAGCCAUUGGCGAGAAGCACAGCUCUAGAAAUGACAUUGUCAUUUGAGAAGAUGAGGACACGUUUUUGAGAGAGUGAAGUGAUCAAUUAGUUUCCGUGUCAUCUGAGCAAGUGGAGAAACUCUGAAGGCAGCAAGCAGCUGGUGCUCUAAAGUUAGCCACGUGAUACUGUAAAUAGGGCUCAAGAACGGGCGUGGCAUGCGUAGAACUUAUCUGCUUUAAACGGUGGUGAACCAAA